rnacentral:rRNA from 1 species
GACGAACGCUGGCGGCGUGCUUAACACAUGCAAGUCGAACGGAAAGGCCCUGCUUUUGUGGGGUGCUCGAGUGGCGAACGGGUGAGUAACACGUGAGUAACCUGCCCUUGACUUUGGGAUAACUUCAGGAAACUGGGGCUAAUACCGGCUAGGAGCUCCUGCUGCCUGGUGGGGGUUGGAAAUUUUCGGCGGUUGGGGAUGGACUCGCGGCUUAUCAGCUUGUGGGUGGGGUAGUGGCUUACCAAGGCUUUGACGGGUAGCCGGCCUGAGAGGUGGACCGGGGACAUGGGGACUAAGAGACGGCCCAGACUCCUACGGGAGGCAGCAGUGGAGAAUAUGGCACAAUGGGCGGAAGCCUGAUGCAGCAGCGCCGCGUGCGGGAUGACGGCCUUGGGGUUGUGAACCGCUUUCGCCUGUGACGAAGCGUGAGUGACGGUAAUGGGUAAAGAAGCACCGGCUAACUACGUG